GGGAGGUGAGUGGAGUGACAGAGAGAGGGAGAGAGAGCGAGAGCGAGAGAGAGAGAGAGAGAGAGAGAGAGAGAGAGAGAGAGAGAGAGAGAGAGAGAGAGAGAGAGAGAGAGAGAGAGAGAGAGAGAGAGAGAGAGAGAGAGAGAGAGAGAGAGAGAGAGAGAGAAAGAGAGAAAGAGAGAGAGGAACGGGGGGCUGGGAGGCAGAUAAAUAGAGAGACAGAAGGAGAAAGAAAUGGGGAGAGAGAAAAGGAGGCUCAGGGUUUUGAUUCCGAGUUUUGACUCAUAAUAAGAAGAGGCGAGAAGACAAGAGAGGAGAAGAGUGACCGUGUAAUCAGCUUAACGAGGAAUCAUCGCUCAAUGGGCCAGCAGCGCCUCUAAUCUUUAGUGGAGCGUGAUAAGACGCGUGCGACGAGCCGCUCGGUGUGUGUAGCUGGUGUAGACACUGCGGGACCAAUGACCUCAUCAUCACAGCCGACCCCAGGAGCCAUGGAGCCUGUUGCGCCAGGACCUCGCCCUGCUGAGGCUAAACACGCGCCACGACCACCACGAAGAUGCUAACCCCGUGGCGGUAGAGGAAGAGAAAGACGGCACUUGGAACUGAAGAACUCUUACUUACUUCCUGUGGUUUGGACAACAACUUCCCGUCCACCAAACCUAUGUCGAAUUAUACUGAAAAUAACCAGAUGCUGAGGUCAAACCAGUGACCCUUGAGUGUGGACCGUGACUAUGGCAACGCUUCUGCUCCUGCCGCUGGUCCUGGGUCUGUUGGCGGGGGGCCGGGCCCAGUACGAGGUCUGCCGCUCGCUGCGAGGUUCGGAGGCGGGGCCUGGCUGGGAGUUCUACGCCUGUCAGCCUCCGCCCACCAACAUGAAGGAGUUCAUGCAGAUCAGGGUAGAGCCGCCCGGGAUGACCUGUGGAAACCCACCGGAACGCUUCUGCACCCUGGUACGGCACACACACACACACACACACACACACACACACACACACACACACACACACACACACACACACACACACACACACACACACACACACACACAUAUACGUCUACAUACAAACACACACACAUUCAAACACAGACACACACACACUAUUACAAUCACAUACAUGUAAUCACCCGCACACACAUUCAAACACAGAGACACAAACACAAUCUGUGUGUCAUACAAACACACACAUUUGCAAUCACAUACUCUCACACGCACACACACAAACACACACAGACACACUACCAAACACUAUCACAAAUUAUUAUUGAUCACACACACAGGCACACAACCACACACACACACAUACAUGCUUGUGUGAUCACAUACACACACACACACACAUUAACAAAAACUAUCACAAACACAUAAUGUAUGCACACACACACACAGUUCAGAAAGGCAUGGGUCAAGCCUAACUGUCAGUCAUACUAAUGAGCCGACAGACAGACUGACUGACUGACUGACAGACAGACUCAAGCAUUUAAUUGUUCCCUUGGGACAAUUAAUAGGUGUGGAUCCCAUCUGAAUUAUUAAUGACGGUAAUAAUUAUUAUAAAGGUGAAAUUGAAUAGCUCUUGAGGCCCCUGGUGUAAAUGUGGCAGUGGCUGAUGUCAUUGCUCUUGACCUUAUGGAAAGGAUAUAGCUAACUCACUUACUACUAAGACAACUUAGCUCUAUCAACGCAGUCGUUCUGUAGUUAAUCAUGACCAGAAUCCAUGUUGGAUACUGUUGGAAUGUUUCGUGGACUGUGUAAUGUGUGUCGACUGUUCAAAGUGUAUGUGUGUAUGUGUGUGUAUGUGUGUGUGUGUGUGUGUGUGUGUGUGUGUGUGUGUGUGUGUGUGUGUGUGUGUGUGUGUGUGUGUGUGUGUGUGUGUGUGUGUGUGUGUGUGUACGUGUGUGUGUGUGUGU